UAUUUUUCACGACAACAAGGGCGGCGCCAUUUCGCUCAUUUUGUCAACGUUCUUCCGGCCGCAUAGACGAUAAGCAGCUGAGGCAGUGACUGACGGCGACGAGUUAAGCUUAAAAAGCUCACUCGAGCGCCUUUUUGUUUCUUUCUUACCAAUUUUAAGCCAACUGAGGAACACCCUUAUCCCAAUUAAUGGUUCGACUACGAUGUUCCGGUAACUUUAAACCACGCCGGGUGUUGAAAAGGUGGCCAGUUUCAGAUGCAUUGCUGUGUAGUGAAGCAGAGGACAACUGUGAGGAUGAUACAAUCAACAUCUUCCUAAACUGUGAUGCAGAAACACAAUGGGAGGAUCCAUCCGUCUCUGACCACAACUACACUUUAAAAUCACAACUCAACCUGAAGCAACCUACAUCUGAUAUGGGAAAACAACGGUGCAGUUUCCCUGACAGGGCUUAUCCUGGUCCCAGGCUAAAUGCAUAUUUGAGCUACAAUAAUUUAAAAACACCUUUUACUGACAUACCUCAACAUAUAUGAGUGUCAUUGUUUUGUCACAAGAUGCGCACCAGUCUUGUUUUUUGUAGGGUUUGUUUGUAAAAACUAAAAUGUCCUAAUAUAAUUAAAUCCUAGUCCUGUAAACCCUGUCCGAGAAACUGCUUCAAUGUGUUGAGCUGGCACAAAUGUACAUAUCUCUGCUGAGAAACAACCAUCUUUGGUUCAGCUUUACAGAGGGUUGAUAUUGCAUCCAUUACACAGUCGCCAAGCACUUUACCAGUACAUACACCAACAGCUUCCAGAAAAACACUUGGGAUCAGCUCCUGAUGACUCCGAUAAAGCUGUGUCUUAAUUUAUUGCAGGGUGGUCUUGCUUUACCUGUUGUAAAGUUACAUUAAACCUUCAUAUGUGAUCAGAUGUCAUGCAGUGAUAUUAAACAUUUACAGUGUGAUCAGAUGUUGUGCAUUUAUAUUAAACCUUUACAAUGUGAUCAGAUGUUGUGCAUUUAUAUUAAACCUUUACAAUGUGA